UGCAGCUUCGUCAAAUUCGGUGCUCCCUCCUCAGUAGGGUGCACUGGCCAAAAUGGCUGCAACAGUGAUUCUGUAGUUCAUGGGCCUCAUUGUUCUGACCUGUGAACUCUGGGGAUAAAAAUAUGCUACAGACAGAA
rnacentral:snoRNA from 1 species